UACAGAGGUGGCAAGCGUUGUUCGGAAUUACCGGGCGUAAAGGGCGCGUAGGCGGCCCACUAAGUCAGACGUGAAAUCCCCCGGCUUAACCUGGGAACUGCGUCUGAUACUGGAAGGCUCGAGUUCGGGAGAGGAAUGUGGAAUUCCAGGUGUAGCGGUGAAAUGCGUAGAGAUCAGGAAGAACACCGGUGGCGAAGGCGCUCUGCUAGGCCGGAACUGACACUGAGGGACGAAAGCUAGGGGAGCGAAUGGG
rnacentral:rRNA from 1 species